rnacentral:rRNA from 1 species
CUCAAAGCCCCGACGAGUAGGGUGGCGUGCCGGUGAGCGUUGAAGGCCAAGACGUGAGUCAGGCUGGAGCCGCCGGUAGUGCAGAUCUUGGUGGUAGUAGCAAGUACUCUGGUGAACCAACCUGGAGCUGUGAGGUCUGGAUCAGGGUUCCAUGUCAACAGUGAUUGAACAUGGGUGAGUCGAUCCUAAGCCAACUGUGAAAGCAGUGACAUCCCGACAAAGGGGCUAUUCGCGUGGCGACCACACGCGUCUGUGUGCACAUUCGCAAGUCUCCUCUCUCUGUCUGUCUGGUUGGUCGCGCGCGCAUGCAAACCCGGUGCGCGUGUGUGUGUCUCUCUGGUUACGCUCGAGCGWGUAUGGWUGGAGAGAGAGAAAACGAGACAGUGCCGCGCGUGUGUGUGUGUUCUCUGAAGGCUCCCUGCGUCUGGUUCUAUGUCUGGCGAAAGGGAAUGGGGACUUUGUUCCUUGACCGGUCCCGGCACCCUCGAUAGGCUUUGCCAAUCAAUGGUCCAUGCAAAUGGAACCAGGCCACAGCCGCCGGCAGUCGCCCGAGGAAGAGUUUUCUUUUCUGCUUAACGCACGAGAUCAUCCCUGGAAACAGUUCGGCUGGCGAAAGGGUGCCCCGUUGCGGCAGAGCGCCACGACUGUCGUGCGCGUCUCGGUGUUCCUGCCGGUCCGUGAAGACGUGGUCGAGGGGAUUGCUAUUGUAUCAACGAAACGCCCGACAAGUUCGGGACGGACCGUACCCUAUAUCCGCAUCUGGUCUCCAAGGUUCGUAGCCUCUGCAGAGUCAGACACAUGUAGGUAAGGGAAGUCGGCAAACUCGAUCCGUAACUUCGGGAAAAGGAUUGGCUCUGAGGGCCGAGCUGGGCCGGGCCUUGCCUGCAAAGCAGUACCUAUAGUGACCGGAGUUUCAGGAGUGCGAGGGGCUCUAGUAGCUGCCUGCGCGUUCACGCGUGUGGGCACGAACGAGUCUACCGCUCCGCUCCAACCACGAACGGCUGUGACGGCAAGGGCUCUGGGCGGGAGCGUUCAAACCGUUGGUCCCCAGCUCGUCUGGCUGGCGGCGGUGCUCCGUCUGACCCAUACGGCUCCAGCGGCUAGCGGCUAACUCAGAACUGUCAUGGACCAAGGGAAUCCGACUGUCUAAUUAAAACAAAGCGUCGUGACGGCCC